rnacentral:rRNA from 1 species
UACGGGGGGAGCAAGCGUUGUUCGGAUUUACUGGGCGUAAAGGGCGCGUAGGCGGUCAGCACAAGUCAGUUGUGAAAUCUCCGGGCUUAACUCGGAAAGGUCAACUGAUACUGUGCGACUAGAGUGCAGAAGGGGCAACUGGAAUUCUCGGUGUAGCGGUGAAAUGCGUAGAUAUCGAGAGGAACACCUGCGGCGAAGGCGGGUAGCUGGGCCGACACUGACGCUGAGGCGCGAAAGCUAGGGGAGCGAACGGG